GUGAGUUCCUCCUGGCCAGUGAUUCCGCUGUCUUCAAGAACUCCACCAUCUUUACUUACUUCAGUUCCGAAUUCUCCCUAGAACGCAGUGUUUUGUUGAUUUGAGAAUUUUGGGGAAUGUUGUGAUUGUUUCUGGGGAAAUUGGGGGCAGUUUGGAAUUUUGACAAACAAGUACUACCCAGGGGGUGUUUCAGCAGCGGCCCUGCCUCGCCCUCGCUCAGUCCAGCAGCCUCCAAAGUUUCUGGAGGACUAGAGAAGAGAACAGCCUUUUUCGGGGCAUUGGGUCCCGGGAUGCAAAGAAUUAGGAAACAGGGCUUGCCCCUAACGGUGGUAAUGGAGCACAGGGGAAGUUCUUAAAUGAUGGCAACUGCUGGCCCAGCCUAAUAGCCUACACAUGAGAGAGAUUACAACUGCCAGUCUCACCAGUUCACAGGUGAGGACAUGGAAGAAUGAGUGGGAAGGAGGAGUCAAGGCCUUGGUGAUUUCCACCUCCACGUGGUCUGGACCACAUUCUUCCCUAGAAGUGUUGCUUCCCUCUGCAUAUCACAGUCUGCCGUAACUGGAGAAAAGGAGAACACAGCAGAUCAGGUUAAUCACCUGGAAGACUGGGAAAUCCAAAUUCACUCCAGCCCACGCAAGCUAGGUAACUGCACCAGUCAGACCUGUUGGGGAUCCAGGGACCAGCCUGCACAUCGAUGUGUGGCAACCAGAGAGCUGUUCUGAAGAUUAAAAGGAGACCUCCAUCUAUGUGGGAAGUAUUGCUGCUAUCGGAAUGUUUUCGUAUACAAUCAUCCCCUGCAUAGCGAUGUUUCCGUCACUUAUGGACUGAAUGUAUGACGGCGGUUCCAUAAGGGUUCACAGGUUUGGAUCCCCAGCACAGACCAAGCACCGCUCGUCAAGCCAUGCUGUGGAGGCAUCCCACACAAAAAAGAGGAAGAUUGGCAACAGAGGUUAGCUCAGGGCCAAUCUUCCUCACAAAAAAAAAAAAAGAAAGAAAAGGAAAGAAAAAAGAAAUGGAACUUUGGAGGUAUCCUAUCCAGCAAUUCUUCCAGUGUUUGGCCUUGGCCCAUCUAACUCUUGGCUUUCCCUUUUCUGAUGCACUGUAUGUUUUACUACUAAAUCUUAUUAAAAAUAUUGUUUUGGCCUGUCAGGAUCAGGUCAUCAAGAGGGAUUUCUUUCUCCCCCACUUCUUUCUUUCUUUUAGCGGGGAGAAGUCCAAAUUGAAGCUUACCUUCCAGGUCCUUCACAACACGUUCGUUUUCAGUCUUCCCUCCAGAGGCUCACCUGCACCCUCUGGUCCAGUCAAAUUGCUUAACCCUCUGUGCACUGGAUUUUCUCACCUUUGCGUUUUGAUUGGCACCAUGAAAUACUUCCCCUUUUUAUUCUGCCAAUCACUGUCCUAUUCAUCUUUGAAAACAUGAUUUUAUCCCUCUCUGUGAAGCCUUCCCAGGUCUUUCUGAUCCACGGUAAUUCCUGUGACUUUGUAUUCUAAUAGCAUUUAGUUUACCCCACGCACAGAAC
rnacentral:lncRNA from 1 species